rnacentral:RNase_P_RNA from 2 species
UCAUGUUAAUGUAUAAUUCCUGCUCUUGUGUGAUAAACAUAGCAGAGGAAAGUCCGAGCUCCAAGGAAAAAUAGUGAUGGGUAAUGCCCGCCGGAGGUAACUCCAGUUAUAGGGCUACAGAGAAUUACCGCCUAAAAUAUUCUUAGGUAAGGGUGAAAAGGUGUGAUAAGAGCACACCAUGGCAAUGGCAACAUUGAUAGUCGAGUAACCAACACUAGGAGCAAGAUUAAAUAGAAGUAGAUUUUAUGUUUUCCUCAUAUCUACUCGGGUAAAUCGCAUGCGGUAAAUGGUAACGUGUGAUAAGAGCACACCAUGGCAAUGGCAACAUUGAUAGUCGAGUAACCGACACUAGGAGCAAGAUUAAAUAGAAGUAGAUUUUAUGUUUUCCUCAUAUCUACUCGGGUAAAUCGCAUGCGGUAAAUGGUAACAUUUACUCCAGAUAAAUAGCUACAUAAACAGAACUCGGCUUAUAUUUCACCUAGGCGU